rnacentral:rRNA from 1 species
AUACGUAGGGGGCAAGCGUUAUCCGGAAUUAUUGGGCGUAAAGAGGGAGCAGGCGGCAGCAAGGGUCUGUGGUGAAAGCCUGAAGCUUAACUUCAGUAAGCCAUAGAAACCAGGCAGCUAGAGUGCAGGAGAGGAUCGUGGAAUUCCAUGUGUAGCGGUGAAAUGCGUAGAUAUAUGGAGGAACACCAGUGGCGAAGGCGACGAUCUGGCCUGCAACUGACGCUCAGUCCCGAAAGCGUGGGGAGCAAAUAGGAUUAGAUACCCUAGUAGUCCACGCCGUAAACGAUGAGUACUAAGUGUUGGAUGUCAAAGUUCAGUGCUGCAGUUAACGCAAUAAGUACUCCGCCUGAGUAGUACGUUCGCAAGAAUGAAACUCAAAUGAAUUGACGGGG